CCCAUUAAAUCAGUUAUAGUUUAUUUGAUGGUCUCUUUGUUCUUCUUUUUACCUACUUGGAUAACCGUGGUAAUUCUAGAGCUAAUACAUGCGCAAGGUCCCAAGCGCGGAGAGUAGGGCUUCACGGCUUUAUUCUUGCAUGCGUAGCGGGAUGUAUUUAUUAGGUUAAAACCAGCGUAGCCAGCAAUGGCUACAAUCUCCUGGUGAUUCAUAGUAACUUUUUCGGAUCGCAUUCAUG
rnacentral:rRNA from 1 species